AGUGCAGAAUCUGUGCCCGGAGGCUGGGCGAUGUGGGCAGGGGCCUGAUCCCCGCCAGCUCUCACUCCUGCCUCAAGGGAGCGAGUCGCUUCCAAGCCCCAGUGCCCAAGGCCAAGCGCAGAGGGGUGAGAGGUGGGCGUUGAGACAAGGAUUUCUGCGGGAGAGAAAGGCUGAGGGAAGGCGGAAGUGCAGGCCGCGCCAGCUGCAUCCCAUCUGCCCUGGGCAGCCGGCCAGGCAAGCCUCCCAGGCCCCUCCAUGCCCUGAGAAAGACCCAGAGGACCCACAUUCCCACCUUGGAGCCACCAGGAGCGCUGCCUUUCUCCUUAGGCCUCACAGAGGAGCUGGUCAGAGGCUUCCGUCUUUCUGUCUGCACCCAUUGGGAGCCAGCUCUGCCCUGGUGCCAUCCAGGAACCCUGAGGACUGAUCUCUCCAACCUUGGUGGAUUCUGGAGGGUUCAGCCUCUUUCUCGCUUUGUGUCCCGCAUUCGAGGGCAGGCAAGAGGCUUGAAAGGAAAACUAAAUAUGGCAAAACCAUGGCUGGAGAUUUUGGGAAGCUGGAAAGCAGGGAGACGAGAGGGUGAGCCGCUGGGGCGCCAGUGUACCAUUUAUUUGCUGUGUGGCCACGGGCCAGUGCCUUCCUCGCUCUGAGCGUUUCCUCAUCUGUAAAUUAAGCCUAAAAUGCAGGCCUCCUAGACUUGCUUUGAGGAGUCCAGAAGCACUGGGUGUGAAUGCAUGCGACACCCAGGAAGCAGACAUACCUCACUCAGCCUCCUAUUUGAUGCUAUUACUGAUGGCGGCUUCUGGCCCUCAGGCUGGAGACCAGAUGAGGGGUGAGAUGACAUUUCAGCCCCUGGAGACUAGGGCCCAGGGUCCUUCCGGUUGUAGAUAAGAUCCAGAGCUGUGCUAGGCCUUGGGUCCUAUCGAAAUUCCCACGGGAAUCCCUGGCGGAAGAGCCGUCCCGGGCCCAAGCUUAUCUGCACUCCCGCGCGUCUGGGAAGUGGGGUCAAGUGCAGUUGUCUGGGUUGGUUUCCAGCAGGGAGGCCAAAGGCCGUGGACGUAGUCUGGACUCAGUCAUGCUGCCUGCCGGUCUGGGGAGGACGCCCGGGGGCCCGGAGGGGGAUCACUCAUUCCCAGCCCUACCCGUCUCGAGGGGGGCGGCCGCUCUUCUGGAAGACCCCUGAGAGCAGGCUGCAAACGUCAGGGCAGGAGGCGGCCCAGUGCCUUCUGCGCCAGCCCUUCCAGUGUCACCCGCUGUGCUUGCCCAAGGACCACCAUCCCGGAGGAGGGAGGAGUUGCGGCCCUGAGCUGCGGACACUCUAGUCUGAAGGGGACAGAGUCCUUGCCAGGGAGCCGCCCCUACUCUGCGGAGGGAGUAGUCUUCUGGAACCUGGAGAGAGCGUCUAUACAUCCUGUCCUCUCCCCUCCCCUCCCUUUCCUCUUCUCUCUUCUCCUCUGCUCCUUUCUUCUCUGCUCCAUCACAGCCAAGCCCAUGGCCUUGGAGACCCCGGGGUGCAACGGGAUCCCCAAAUAGGAGUGUUUUGCACCUGGGGUUCCCAUUACACAUUGUAGGCUGGGAGGUGGGCUUCGGAAGUGGAAGGCAGCUCGGACGUUAACUCCAGCUGGGGGAACUGAGGCCCACCAGCACACUGCAUGCUCCAGGGCUGGGGGUGGUGCAGAGAGGGGCUACAGAGCGGGUCCCCGGGGAGAGGGCGGUGGGCAGGCGGCAGGUGGCAGGGUUCUCCCUGGGUCAUGACAGGGCCCCUCCAGGCCCACUUCUC